rnacentral:rRNA from 1 species
GACGAACGCUGGCGGCGUGCCUAAUACAUGCAAGUCGAACGAACCGCGACUAGGUGCUUGCACUUGGUCAAGGUGAGUGGCGAACGGGUGAGUAACACGUGGGUAACCUACCUCAUAGUGGGGGAUAACAGUCGGAAACGACUGCUAAUACCGCAUAGGACAUGGGAUCACAUGAUUCUGUGAGGAAAGGUGGCGCAAGCUAUCGCUAAGAGAUGGACCCGCGGUGCAUUAGCUAGUUGGUAGGGUAACGGCCUACCAAGGCGAUGAUGCAUAGCCGACCUGAGAGGGUGAUCGGCCACAUUGGGACUGAGACACGGCCCAAACUCCUACGGGAGGCAGCAGUAGGGAAUCUUCCGCAAUGGACGCAAGUCUGACGGAGCAACGCCGCGUGAGUGAAGAAGGUCUUCGGAUCGUAAAGCUCUGUUGUUAGAGAAGAACAGCGCAUAGAGUAACUGUUAUGCGUGUGACGGUAUCUAACCAGAAAGCCACGGCUAAAUACGU